UUUGUGAAUUGUGAUUUAUAUCUUUCAUCUCAGUUUCUAAUAUAUUUUGUUACAUAUAUAGGAAUGGGAGAUGAUUAAUGAUUUGAGAGCUGACAUGGCAAGGCUGCAACAAGGUAUGAGUCACAUUCAGAGGAUGCUGGAGGCAACGUUCAAUUUUUGUGAUAAGGAUACUAGGCUCUUUUUAAGAAAAAGACAUCCGAGGUUUGUUUUUAUUGACCUUUGUUGUAUCAAAGUGUCUGGAAUUCUUGUUUAUGAAAUUUGAAUUGCUAUUUUAGGUUUAUAAUGGAAGCAUUCAGACUAUUGAUGGAUGUGCAACAUUUUUUUUGAAGAGAUAGAUUCUCACAUGUUAAAAAAUACGAAGUUGAGUUUAAUAAAGCUGCACAAUCUUUAACUGAUGCUUUGGUCCCUAAUGCUCAAAAGAAAACAGCCUUGAAUCGAUUGGUCAUGGAUAAUAUUGCACUGAUUGUUGUUCUAGAAGCUAAGUUGAGCAACCAAGGUGUUGAUAAUCUUGGGAAGCCUCAACUUGUUUGUGUGGCAAAUACCCAUGUGAAUGUUUAGCAUGAUCUAAAGGAUGUGAAACUUUGGCAGGU